GAGGAAAGGCUCAGGCGCUCUGGGAGGGGCUUGCGGCCCAUCAGCUAGUUGGUAGGGUAAAGGCCUACCAAGGCGAAGACGGGUAGGGGGUGUGAGAGCACGGCCCCCCACAAUGGGACUGAAACACGGCCCAUACUCCUACGGGAGGCAGCAGCAGGGAAUAUUGCACAAUAGGCGAAAGCCUGAUGCAGCGACGCCGCGUGAGUGAAGAAGGCCUUCGGGUCGUAAAGCUCUUUUGUAGGGGAAGAGGAAGGACGGUACCCUAAGAAGAAGCGUCGGCUAACUACGUGCCAGCAGCCGCGGUAAGACGUAGGACGCGAGCGUUAUCCGGAAUUACUGGGCGUAAAGGGCCAGCAGGCGGCUUGGUAAGUUGUGCGUGAAAGCCUCGUGCUCAACGCGAGGAAGCCGGACAAUACUGUCAAGCUAGAGGGCAUCAGAGGGGAGUGGAAUUCCCGGAGUAGCGGUAAAAUGCGCAGAUAUCGGGAGGAACACCGAUGGCGAAGGCAGCUCCCUGGGAUGCACCUGACGCUAAGAGGCGAAAGCUAGGGGAGCGAACAGGAUUAGAGACCCUGGUAGUCCUAGCUGUAAACGCUGGGUGCUAGGUGUGGGACGUAGAAGUUCCGUGCCGGAGCAAACGCGAUAAGCACCCCGCCUGGGAAUUACGGUCGCAAGGCUAAAACUCAAACGAAUUGACGGGGCCCCGCACAAGCAGCGGAGCGUGUGGUUCAAUUCGAUGCUACACGAAGAACCUUACCUGGGUUUGACAUGUACGUGGUACGAAGGCGAAAGCCUAAGGACCUUUCGGGGAGCGUACACAGGUGCUGCAUGGCUGUCGUCAGCUCGUGCCGUGAGGUGUCGGGUUAAGUCCCGUAACGAGCGCAACCCUUGCCCUUAGUUACAAGUGUCUAAGGGGACUGCCGGCGGGAAGCCGGAGGACGCUGGGGAUGACGUCAAGUCAGCAUGGCCCUUAUGUCCAGGGCUACACGCACGCUACAAUGGUCAGUACAAAGGGUAGCGAAGUCGCGAGGCGGAGCGAAUCUCAACAAAGCUGAUCGUAGUUCGGAUUGCAGGCUGCAACCCGCCUGCAUGAAGCUGGAGUUGCUAGUA
rnacentral:rRNA from 1 species